AUUUACUGGUUAUGCUGUCACAGAUAUCUUUCCAUCAAUGCCUUAUCUUUUCUAACUAUCAAGUAAGAGCAAAGAAUUUGAGUGAAACUUUAGCUAAAAAUGGAUUCCCUUCUACACAUAUUUCAGGUGGUCAAGGGCAAAAUGAACGUCUUGAUGCAAUGAGGAAGUUGAAGGAGCUCAAAUGUCG